GCGGGACCCCAGAGUUAGCCUCCUACUAUGGGGUACGGGAGUGACGGAAGGGUUUUUUGGCGAUUUUUUUUGUUUAGUUGUUGUUUUUGGGUUGAAUUGAGUUUGUAGGCGACGGAGGUAUUUGUGGAGAGUGCGAUACCCUAGAGUUAGCCUCCUACUAUGGGGUACGGGAGUGACGGAAGGGGUUUUAAGCGAUUUUUUUUGUUUUGUUGUUGUUUUUGGGGUGAAUUGAGUUUGUAGGCGACGGAGGUAUUUGUGGAGAGUGCGAUACCCCAGAGUUAACUUCGUACUAUGGGGUCAGGGAGAGACGGAAGGGAUUUUUGGUGAUUUUUUGGGGUUCGUUGCUAUUUUCUAAGGUAUUAUUUUUUUUUCUUGUGUUAAAUUAGAAACAGAAAAGUGUAGAGUGUGAUAC